CUUUCAUCAGGGGACUGGUGUCAGCGUGCGGGGCUUUUGCUCAGCGCGUUGGCCCAAUCCUUUCUGAUUCUACCCAUGUCUUUUGCGUACUAUUUGUUUCCUUGGUGGGCUUGCCCGCCAAAAGGACAAACCAAAACCACUUGUAAUUGCAGUCAGCGUCAGUAACAAUGUAAUAAUUACAACUUUCAACAACGGAUCUCUUGGUUCU
rnacentral:misc_RNA from 1 species